rnacentral:rRNA from 1 species
UACGGGGGGAGCAAGCGUUGUUCGGAUUUACUGGGCGUAAAGGGCGCGUAGGCGGCGCAACAAGUCACUUGUGAAAUCUCCGGGCUUAACCCGGAGCGGCCAAGUGAUACUGUCGUGCUAGAGUGCGGAAGGGGCUACUGGAAUUCUCGGUGUAGCGGCGAAAUGCGUAGAUAUCGAGAGGAACACCUGCGGCGAAGGCGGGUAGCUGGGCCGACACGUGACGCUGAGGCGCGAAAGCCAGGGGAGCGAACGGG